rnacentral:rRNA from 1 species
GACGAACCGAGCGACCGUUGUUCGGAAUAACUGGGCUUAAAGGGCGCGUAGGCGGGCUGUCAAGUCUGGGGUGAAAUCCCGCGGCUCAACCGCGGAACUGCCUCAGAUACUGACGGCCUCGAGGGAGAUAGGGGCGAGCGGAACGAAUGGUGGAGCGGUGAAAUGCGUUGAUAUCAUUCGGAACUCCGGUGGCGAAGGCGGCUCGCUGGAUCUCUUCUGACGCUGAGGCGCGAAAGCUAGGGGAGCAAACGGG